CCUACGGGGGGCAGCAGUGGGGGAUAUUGGUCAAUGGGCGAAACCCUGAUCCCGCGACGCCGCGUGAGUGAAGAAGUCUUUCGGUAUGUAAAGCUCUAUCAGCAGGGCAGUAAGAAAUGACGGUACUUGAGUAAGAAGCCCCGGCUAACUACGAGCCAGCAGCAGCGGUAAUACGUAGGGGGCUAGCGUUCGCCGGAAUUACUGGGUGUAAAGGGUGCGUAGACGGUAAUGCAAGUCUGGAGUGAAAGGCCGGGGCUCAACUCCCGUACUGCGCUGGAGACUGUGUAACUGGAGUGCAGGUGAGGCAGGCGGAAUGCCUAGUGUAGCGGUGAAAUGCGUAGAGAUUAUGAGGAACACCAGUGGCGAAGGCGGCCUGCUGGACUGUAUCUGACGUUGAGGCUCGAAAGCGUGGGGAGCAAACAGGAUUAGAUACCCGAGUAGUC
rnacentral:rRNA from 1 species